rnacentral:misc_RNA from 1 species
GAUGAAGAACGUAGCGAAAUGCGAUAAGUAAUGUGAAUUGCAGAAUUCCGUGAAUCAUCGAAUCUUUGAACGCACAUUGCGCCCCCUGGUAUUCCGGGGGGCAUGCCUGUCCGAGCGUCAUUGCUGCCCUCAAGCACGGCUUGUGUGUUGGGCCCCCGUCCCCGGUUCUCCCCGGGGACGGGCCCGAAAGGCAGCGGCGGCACCGCGUCCGAUCCUCGAGCGUAUGGGGCUUUGUCACCCGCUCUGUAGGCCCGGCCGGCGCCAGCCGACACCCCAACUUUAUUUUCUAAGGUUGACCUCGGAUCAGGUAGGGAUACCCGCUGAACUUAAGCAUAUCAAUAAGCGGAGGA